GGGCUGACACGUGACCGCGACGCCACGUGACUCGGGUCUCGCCUCCGACCCCCGCCCGGUCUCCGGCCGGCGGAAGCGGAAGGCGGGCGGUGGGUGCGGCUGGUCACCUCCUGGAGGGGCCUCUGGGUCCCGCCUGGGGCUGCCGGAUGAAAAGAGGGGUUGGGACCGGACGUGCGGCUCUCCACCGCGGGCCGAGGGUGGGAGUCCCACGGCGGCCGCCCCACGGGAGACGAGAGGGCGUUUCCGCAGGGACGCUGAUGCUAACGCGUCUGUCGGCCUCGGGGCCCGUGGAGAAUCCGGGCUGGGGGGUAGGAAGGAGGGGGAUGUGAACACGCGUACUGAGUGUUACCCCUCGUGCUGGAAAAACACACAAGGCACAGGAUGUUAAUCUGGACACACUCUUGACUGAAGGGGCUUCAGAGGGUUCGGUGGCUCCCGGCUGUCACCUCGUCCUGGAGGCCGUGGGGGAGUAGCGGCCUUUCCCGGAAGGUUCAGAAGGGCCCCAAGCUGCCCAGGGAAGGAAAUCGCAGCCUCGCUGCUUCCAGAACCUUCCUGAAGUGCCUCUCACUCACUCCCCAGUUCCUGAUUUGCUUCUAGGCUCUGCCCGACUGCUGCCCGCGCUCUGGCCACACGGGCCCUUUGCAGAGAGAGGUGACGCCCUCCUGCCCUGCUGCUUCGUUGAGCACUUCCAACCCCACCCCCUGGGGAAACGUGCCUCCAGUUCACCUUCAGUGCAGUUUCCCUUCCCCGCCACCUUCUAAUACCAUCAGCUGAACAAGUCGUGACACUGAAGGAUUUCAAGUAAGAGGAAAGCAAAGAGGCCGAGGGAGCCCCAGGCUCGUUGGGUUUUGUCGACUGAAAGUUGAGAGCUGUGUUUUUUUCAGGGAUCGUUCUUAGGACUUCAAGCCGGGUCAUCUCAACCCCGAGAAUCCGAGGGGGGAGCCAGGAUAUAUAGGAGUUUUUGCAACAAAGGGCAGGUAGUCGGAAUGUCAAAAGAUUAUCGUUAAUUAAGGAAAACCAGGUAUCUCAAGUUAAGGAAUUUAGCGCUUUUCUAUGUAAGGAGAGAUGCAAGAGUCUGGGCUCACUGAAAUCAUUCCUUUGAUCUGCACCUCAGCUCUCUGGGGCCAGUGUCCUGUGCUCUCUCAUCCUGAGUCCCCUCAGGGCUCACCGUCUGGGGUAGUUGCAGUGUGAUGACUCCGUGAUGGCAGGCAUUCCUUGUUUCCUUCGUGAGUCUUCUCAGGCUGCAGGGUGGGGAGUGGCUGCAGUUACUGAUGACUGAUGGCUGCAGUGUCCUUCCUUACUGACAUGGCAGGCAGCAUUCUUAGUCCACAGGUUGUUCAGCUCUUUGGGGCAGAAAUCUACUGUUACUACAGAGUUGAUUUGCUGAUGUCUUGUUUAGGUGUUUAGGGAUCUUUCUGGAUUUUUUGUUUGUUGCUGUUCCAAAUGGGGAAGAGUCUCAGCGGGAUCCCAUUUGAGAGAAGUGCUGUCUGUUGAAGUGUGCCGUGGGAAAGAGGAGGUGUUGGAUCUGCGGUCUCUAUGCUUUCACUGUGAGGUCCCUUAUCAGCAGCAGGUUGUUAACAUGAUGUUUGUACAGUAGGUUAUUAUCUGAGCCUGAGCUGUCCCUAUGAAGUAGAGUGUUCAGUUCAGAUGUAACUGGAAAAUUCUAAAAUAUUUCCCUUUUCUCUUGAACUUUCUGAUGGUGAGAAACUACCAAAAAAUCUUGAGUAUGGAAACAAAAGACCUAUUAAUUUUGUGCUUCUCAGCCUUGGAAGCCCCUUCCUCUGUUGAGAGAACGCCUUACCCUCUGAAUAUGGUUGGCAGACAGAGCACCCAGCAGAAGUUGAAAAAACCAGAUGGUCACUUUCCCAGCCUUCCUAGCGGCUAAGGUGCGAGCUCAGCCCAAGUUCAGCCCAUUAGACUGGAUCAGGAGCUAGUGGUUGCCCCUGAACGUGGUGUUUGCUGGUGACGGCAGCUGUAGCCGCAGCAAAGUGGCAUUUCUCCCGGCGGUGGCGAAGGGUCUUCACCGGGUUGUUUGUAGUGCCUUCAGCCGUGGCCCUUGCUGCCCCCUCGCGCCUGCUAUUUCCCUAGCGUCAUUCUGCAUUCCUUUUGGAAAUUCUGUGAGCUACUCAGAGGCCUUUCAACAGGGGAUUUUUCUGCUUAGACCCAUCAGAGCACAUUUCUACUGUGUCCAACUGCCCAAUACACGCUGUGUUUGAAAUCUUCUCUUUUUAAAGACCAAAAAGGAGUUUGUGUGAGCAAAAGAACAGGGUGUAAAAAAAACAGCAGAAAAAUGAAAGGUUUAGCAAAAAUUCUAUGAAGUUACAUUUUAAUAGAGUAUGGAAAAGUAAUAUGGUGGGAUUUUCUUGUUUGGUCUUCUUUUUGUUUGAAUUCUUAGUGAAGGCUGGGUCUGAGCUGGUUUUUUUUUCUUCUUGGCCGCGCCACGCGGCUUGUGGGAUCUUAGUUCCCUGACCAGGGAUCAAACCCGUGCCCCCUGCAAUGGAAGCACAGAGUCCUAACCAGUGGACCGCCAGGGAAGUCCUGGAUCUGAACUAUUCUGAUUGAAGGAAAGAUGGGGAAAACCAAGCACAGUGAAGGACUCCACACCUUCUGAAUUCUUUUGGAGACUUUUUUAAAGCCUUUUAAAAACAAAGCAGUGAGGGCAGUGAGUGGAGAGGCCUCUGCGGAGCUGAGCAGGGACUGGGGACCCUGCUUUGGUAAUAAUGAGCGGGCGAGUUCACAGGUGAAAGGUGGGGCCUUUUACCUGUGAAAUGACCUCGUGCCGCUGGGAGGGUGUGGGCUCAGUAGCUAAGGAGAUAAGUGAUGGCUGAUGGAAGGUGAAAUCUAGCGGAACGGACUAGCAGGCAGUCUGUGCUUUUUUUCCUCUUUUGCUCUAAGUUACGCUUUUUCUUGAGACUUGGUAAGCAAAACUAGUAAUGUCGCAUAGUGCUGUCGUUUUUAAAGCUUGUUUUAUGAAAUUUCUAAAAGGGAAAUUUUGAAUAAAAUUAGGAUAAUCCAGUGAGUGCUGUUGUACCGUUACUUUUACCAUUUUCCCUCCCUCCUCACUUGUUUUGUGUUUUGGUUGGUUUGGGGGCUUGAGUGUUAUAAAACAAACCUCAGACAUUAUAUUUUUCAUGUAAAUCUUUUACAUAAACAGAAUGCCACUAUUGUAGCUAAUAUAAAAACAAAACCUAAGAAUUCCUUAGUAACUAAUUUCCAGUUUAUGUUCACACGUCUCCAGUUGUCCAGAAAACAUCUUUUUACAGCCAGUGUGCUCCCUGUGGCUCCGGCGAGGUCUGCACGCUGCCCUUGAUGGCGUGUCUCAAGUCCCUGUGUUGGGGAAGGGGAAACGAGGCUACUUGUCCUGUAGGACACCCACACUUUGGGUUGACCUGGUGAGUCCUUGAACGGCCAUGUCUUCCUCUGCUCCGGUAACCUGGUGGUCUGAUUGAGGCUUGACUGAAUCAGGCUUAUCUCCCCCAGGUACCACGCUCCACACGUGGUGCUGGAGCCUCCCCACGCAGUGUGGAGUGCGGGUCUGCAACAUUGGCUGCGUCUGGGGCUGGUUAGCAGUGCAGAGCCUCGGGCCCCUCCGUGGACCCACGGAAUCAGAACCUGCGUUUCAGCCAGGGCCUCGGGCCACUAGUGUGCAUGGAGACCGAGAAGCACUCUGCCCUUUUCUUCAGGCUGUGGGGCCGCAUUGGGGUGGCCCCAGUGGCCCCAUCCACUGCAGAGUCCCUGUCAGCCUUUGGCCUCUGGCCCCGCGGCUUCGCAUACAUCCCUGGCGGUCCGUAGGUCCGCACUCCGGCGGGCUUGGCGAUAUCUCUGCUUUGCUUUUUCGGCCACGCCACGCAGCACGCAGGAUCUUAGUUCCCCGACCAGGGGUCGAACCCAGGCCCCUACAGUGGAAGCGCAGAGUCCUAACCGCUGGACCACCAGGGAAGUCCCUGGCAAUUUCUAAUUCUAUCUUUCCUAUUGUGCUGUCAGCUGGAGCAGACCUGUAAGGAAGAAUUUUCCAUCGUGGACCAGUUGGUUACUCCAGAGUACCGUCCCUACAGGAAAGCUGGGAUCCGUGCCUGAUUCGAGAUGCUUUUGUCUGGCUUCAGAGUAAGAACUCAGUGCCGAAGCAGCUUCCAGAAGUGAACUGCCGCACCCGCGUGAGCCGUGCGCUCUGGGGGGUGAUGACCUGUCGGUGCGGGUUCCUCAGCGGUGACCGGCGCCCCACCUGGAACGUGCACCCCGAAGACUGGACUUCAUGUUAAUUUUAAAGCUACCAAGCAGGAUGUGGGGGUGCAGUCCGUGACAAAGGUGACUGUCCUGGUGGUCCUGUGGCCACACCCCAACCCCAGGAACUCCGUGUGUGGACCGGAGAUCUGUGUGGACACUGUCCUCUGGCUGGUCAGCUCAUUCUCCCUGGGGUAGGUUAGCGGUUCUGAAGCUGUACGUUUACCGGUGUUGAACAAAUAAGGAGAUAUUUUGCAGAUAAUGAGAACUGGCAGGCUCCUUGCUGUGGGAGCGAGAAGCCGCGGGGGGAAGAGGGGACCCUGUGAGCUGGAGCUCAUAUGUGUGUUUAGAACACAGAUCGACGGAGAGUCACGGAAAUCCACAGAGCCGGGCGUUUGCGCGCGUCAGACUGUCUCCUGAGUGCCCGCUGAGGGCCGAGACGCACAGCCCUGCAGGUGAGGGUCCUGAGGACGCUCCCUGGGAAAGGAGCCAGGCGGUGCCCACCCGGGGCCUCGGGGACGCAGGUGCCAACCUGAGCUGCCAGCAGCCCCGGGCGCUGGAUGAGGAGGUGAUGCUGACAGCAUUGGGGCGGAAUCCAAAGGGUGGGGUAAAUGUCGCUGAGAAGUGAGGGAACACAGGGCAUGUCCUCCUCACAGAGCCUCCAGCACGGAGGGCCGUGGGCAGUGACCGCUGCGACCGCUGCCGGCGCCCCGGGGGACCGGUGCUCGAAGCUCAAGGGCAGACGGCGUCCGUAUGGUCUCAGAGACGUCUCCAAAUAGCUCGCUCUUAACUA